UAUAAUUGUCUAUAAAAGUUAUAACUGUAUUCGAAUUGUAGAAUGUUCGAAAAAAAAAUCGAACAGCCGUUACCAUAGUAGUCCUAGUUGUGAUUAUAAACAAUGAAAAAUAAUAACGCAUCAACGAGGAAUGAACCCGGUUUGACCGCAACCUAGAGCUGUUCAAACUUAUGAAUGAUUAAUUUGCACUAUUGAAUACCGUGGUCCCGGUAAUACAAAUGUCUUCGUCCAACCGCAAAAUGUUCCAAUUAGAAAUAGAAAUACUCGUCAACAUUAAUUGAAACAGUGGAUUCUCAAUUAUCUAUACACUACGGAACAUUUGUGGAUUGAAGGUUUCGGCGGAUACACUCUACUCGAAGUUCUUAUGCCCGACAUGUCAUAUCCAGCUGAGGGAUGCUUAUAACCUGUAACUAAUGGCUCAACGGUGCGAAGCAAAAUUUGUCUUUAAUAUCAAAAUCGGAACCAUACAUUAUGGACGACGAUGUUGACAUGAACCUGGGUGACGGCGGAGGUGUGGCCCCAACGAUCUCGCAUCAAACGAAUGACUAGUUCACCAAUACGGAUUUUGAAACUGAGCAAGAAACUUUACUUUUAUUUUAUUUAAAUGACCAGGUGCAACGCUAUAGCUUGUUGCAGAUGUGAUAAAGCUUUCUAAAACCUGAAAAGUCUGAGCAAGCAUUCAGACGACCAGAAUCGCACUAAUAACAGUCUUAGUAGCAUAAAGUGAGUUUCAGUGUAAAUGGUCGGUGUUAAGUCAGACCGGUCUAAGUCGCAAAACAUUAAAAAAUGAGAUAAUGAUAGCACUGGACAAAGAAUUUCUUUAGCUAUAUUCCACUUUUACCAGAUUUGAAAUACGUAACAAUAAGCAAGAAUUAUGGCAAAAAUUAAUUUCCGAUUAUAACGUAAAGGAUGCUGCGAUUCAAACUUUAAACUCGAUUUUCUCGAAAUCAAUACAUUGUUACUUAGUCCGGUCUGAUUUAACACCGACCAAAUGUAACUUUUCACGAAUUUUAUAUUUCACUAACAUUAGGCGAAACAGAAAGGUAAUCAAGUAAAGCCUCCGCGAAAAAUUGGAAAUGUUUUGUAUACUGCAGACGGUUUAAAUGUCUGAAAAUCCAACGAUUUAACGAAUAUGCUUUCUUUAGAAUUAUCCUAAGCGGUAUGAAUUCAAAAGGAAUUGAAAUAAGUGAAUCCAAUCCGGUUAAAAGUUUCGAUGUUAACGGUUUGGGCUGUUUUAUUUUGCUUCGAUGGUUGCUGUGGUUGUUUUUCGGUCUAUGAAACCAUUUUCUAAUUAAAGGCACAUCAUCAGAUUUGUAAAUCAAAUAGAAUGUAAAAAAAAAUGUAAAUGUAGCCCUUCACUAUUAUUUAACUUCACUAUAAUAGUUGAAUGGGGAGGUUAUUACCGAUAUUUCCGCUCAGCUCUCACAGUUCGAAGUUAAUAAGCAUAAUAUUAUGGUCAUGGCAGCUAACCUGGAGACGCUUCGACUGUAGCAAAUGUUAGCAAACCGGAGUGAAAAGGAGCAAGAAUUUUUUGCUCCGGAGCAACAGGGAGUAACUUCCGUGUACUGGAACAAACCUCAUACUCAUCAGAGAUCAACACCAAGAAACCAAAGAUCUAUCAAUAUCAUUACGGUGGUGAACCAGUGGAACGACCUUUCCAAUGCAAGAUAUAUCAGAAAAUGUUCAACGCCGGAAAUGAAGUUCGUUAUUAUCGGUAGCAGUCAUACAACCUAAACCGACAUGCAACAU